UGGGGAAUAUUGCACAAUGGGCGAAAGCCUGAUGCAGCAACGCCGCGUGAGGGACGACGGCCUUCGGGUUGUAAACCUCUUUAGCAAGGAAGAAGCAGAAAGUGACGGUACUUGCAGAAAAAAGCGCCGGCUAACUACGUGCCAGCAGCCGCGGUAAUACGUAGGGCGCAAAGCGUUAUCCGGAAUUAUUGGGCGUAAAGAGCUCGUAGGCGGUUUGUCGCGUCUGCUGUGAAAACCCGAGGCUCAACCUCGGGCCUGCAGUGGGUACGGGCAGACUAGAGUGCGGUAGGGGAGAUUGGAACUCCUGGUGUAGCGGUGGAAUGCGCAGAUAUCAGGAAGAACACCGAUGGCGAAGGCAGAUCUCUGGGCCGUAACUGACGCUGAGGAGCG
rnacentral:rRNA from 1 species